AUGUCGGCGAUGACGGCGGCGGUGCCCUUCUGGCGCGCGGCGGGGAUGACCUACAUCGGCUACUCCAACGUCUGCGCGGCGCUGGUGCGGAGCUGCCUCAAGGAGCCCUUCAAGACCGAGGUCUCCUCCCGCGAGAAGGUCCACUUCUCCCUCUCCAAGUGGGCCGACGAGAAGCAGCAGAAGCCCACCUGGCUACGGAAUGAACCCUAG
rnacentral:rRNA from 1 species